ACGAACGCUGGCGGCAGGCUUAACACAUGCAAGUCGAGCGCCCCGCAAGGGGAGCGGCAGACGGGUGAGUAACGCGUGGGAAUCUACCUUUUGCUACGGAAUAGCUCCGGGAAACUGGAAUUAAUACCGUAUGUGCCCUUUGAUGGUGGACAUUUUAGGGGAAAGAUUUAUCGGCAAAGGAUGAGCCCGCGUUGGAUUAGCUAGUUGGUGGGGUAAAGGCCUACCAAGGCGACGAUCCAUAGCUGGUCUGAGAGGAUGAUCAGCCACAUUGGGACUGAGACACGGCCCAAACUCCUACGGGAGGCAGCAGUGGGGAAUAUUGGACAAUGGGCGCAGGCCUGAUCCAGCCAUGCCGCGUGUGUGAUGAAGGCCUUAGGGUUGUAAAGCACUUUCACCGGUGAAGAUAAUGACGGUAACCGGAGAAGAAGCCCCGGCUAACUUCGU
rnacentral:rRNA from 1 species